ensembl:lncRNA LINC00989 long intergenic non-protein coding RNA 989
ACUUCCCGUUCCCCACACCCCAACCCCCUGGACUCUGCCCAGGAAAAUUUGUCGUCUUUGGAAAUUAUUACAAAGUUCAGCUGGAAGUCUCCUUCUCCCUGUGGACCUUCCCCAAUUCCACUGGCUGCCCUCCUCAAGGACCCCUGUGAGAUAAAUUCAGAAAUGGCUAUCCUUGGCUUCCCUGGGGAACAAGAGUGCCUGCAGUUCUUUUCCCACUUCUUUUACUUUUCUAUUUCACUGGGCUCUCUAAAUUCAUUUCAGCUCUAGGGAUUUGGAAAGGAUUCCGUGAUGGUUAAUAUUGAGUGUCAACUUGAUUGGAUUGAAGGAUGCAAAGUAUUGUUCCUGGGUGUGUCUGUGAGGGUGUCACCAAAGGAGAUGAACAUUUGAAUCAGUGAGCUGGGAGACACAAACCCAUACUCAAUCUUGGGGGACACCAUCUAAUCAGCUGCCAGUGCAACUAGGAUAAAAUCAGGCAGAGAAAUUUGGAAAGACUAGACUGGCUGAGUCUUCUGGCCUUCAUCUUUCUCCCAUGCUAGAUGCUUCCUGACCUCGAAUAUCAGACUCCAAGUUCUUUAGCUUUUGGACUCUUGGACCUUUGGCCACAGACGGAAGGCUGCACUUUUGAAGUUUUGGGACUUGGACUGGCUUCCUUGCUCCUCAGCUUACAGAUGGCCUAUUGUGGGACUUCACCUUGUGAUUGUGAUUUCAAACCUUCUGGGUUUCUUCCCAGCGCUAAAUCCUGUCGACUGGAUUCACUAGGAUGAAUAGAGAAAGAAGUGUUACAUUUUAAGAUAAUUUCUUUUCUAAACACACAGAAAGAUCGUGGUCACCAGAUGGCUGUUGCCCUUCCAGGCUUCCAGCUCCUGUGUUCCAGACUGAAGAAGAGGAACAGAAAAAGGGUCAGACAUCUUUCUCCUAGUGCAGCUUUGUUUGAUUAGGAAGAGAGAAUUCCCCCUCACCGUCCCCCUUGAGAUUUCUGCCAGCAUCUCAUUGACCUGAACUGUGACACCUAGCUAUUUCUGUUUCACUCUCUAACAAAUGUAGAAAGUGUUAGUAAGGAAGACUGGAGUAGCAUACUUAGAAAUGGCAACAAGCAGUGCCUCCCACAGCUGCACAGUAUCCCAGUUUGUCAGAAUCUUCCAUGUACUCCUUCAGGUCUACUCUAUGCCCUUCUCACUCUGUUCUCUACUCCGGAGGCUGAUUUCCAGGGCUACAUUCCACAGGCCACCAGGCUUUCCCAGGCCAAGUUCUCUAGAAAUAGAUCCUGACGUGGGUAUUUGAGUACACAUGAUGUAUUGAGAGAGUGCUCCCAGGAGCAACCUUCAGGGGAGUGAGGGAGGCAGACAUGGAAUGAAAAGGAACUAUGGAAAAAUGUGGUUUCAGGUGAAAUCUAGCUUUGGCAUGAUCCCAUGGAAAGUUCUGUAGUGUAAAUUCUGAUGCAGAGUCUUUUCCAACGUGGGACAAGGAAACAGGGACUUUGCAGCACCUCUCCAGUCAGUUCUGGGCCAUUGGCCCCUAGAUGGGGAAAGAAUGUAUAAUUCCCAGGCACCUCCAGGUAAGGCGACCUCAGUCACCUAAGGGCAAGCCUUCUGAGAAGGAUGCAGGUGUAAGUCUAUAGCAGAAGCACCUGCAGCAACUGAGGAAUUAGCACACCAACCAUAUCAUUGAGAGGGAUCUCAGGGCUCUGGGUUGCAUAACAACAGCUUCUAUCUGUGCUUUCUGGCUUCCACUAACCUUGGCCAAUGGAGAGCUAGAACAGGCCAUGAAGGCAUUUCCCUUAACUCGCUCCCUGCUGGGUUUCUUCCCAAGGAUUCUUGGACAUGAGAGGAAAUGUCGUUUCAUGAAUGUUAAACUAAUUUGACUUAACUUAUAAAAGAUAUGAGGCAUAUCAGAAUACUUGAGCUAAAUAACAAAAGAUCAUCAAGUAAAGAGUAAAUCAUGGUCUUUCAUGGAAAAGAAAAUUUAUUAAGAAUUUGUUCUAUUCACAGUUAUUGAAUACAAAAAAACUCCAAGCAGAUAUAAGUUUGAGUAUUUCACUUUUUAAAAAUUGAUUUUUUAGUAAAAAUCUGGAAAAUAAAUGUUUUCCUAAAUCAUAAAAAAUUUCAAAUAAACCGAGUAACAAACAUGACAUUAUUUUAAAAUAUGUAGAAGUAAGAAGCACAUGAAAACGUUUAUAUGAGUGUGAAGAGAAGAAUCAGAUACAAAUUAUUUGGGGAUACCCCAAAUAAUUUCUCUACAGACUAUUUUCUUGACAUCGUAUAUCAAGUGUAUUCUUGAAUUAAAGAGAAAUUUGAAAAAGAAAUAGCUGUAUACUACAUUUUAUAAUUUUCUUUAUAAUAUUCCAGUGUUUAAAAAUUUUAAAGUCAAACUUAAAUACUCUGUGAACCUAGUUAUUGCUUUAAGAGGAGGUGAAAUUGCUGCAUAGGUGAUAGUGACUCAUACGAUACAUUUAAAAUGUUUUGCAAUAAAUUCUAUGAUAAUCAUGCAUCCAAUUCUACCCUAUUGCAAUGAAUAAACAUAAUUUGUAAAAUUCAUGGUUAAUUUCGGAAUAUAAUGAAUGUUUUUAAAAUGUCAUUAAAAAAUCCCAAGUGUUACUUUGCUAACAAAAUGAAGUUUCUCUAAAUGAAAACUUAUUAAAACAAACCAUCAAAGAGCUACAAUGUUCCAAGAAAGAAUGGUUAAUCUGUAAUUGCUGUAAAUAUUGCCAAAUUAUGUGAAAAGAGUGAUUACAACUACAUAAUUGGUGAUUUUGCUGAAAUGAAGGUAAACAUAAAUUUAUUAAAAAUAUGUAUUUGUGAA